rnacentral:rRNA from 1 species
CAGUCGAACGGUAACAGAACUAGCUUGCUAGUUGCUGACGAGUGGCGGACGGGUGAGUAAUACUUAGGGAUCUGCCUCUGUGUGGGGGAUAACUAUUGGAAACGAUAGCUAAUACCGCAUAACGUCUACGGACCAAAGAGGGCUUCGGCUCUCGCGCAGAGAGGAACCUAAGCGAGAUUAGCUUGUUGGUGAGGUAAAGGCUCACCAAGGCGACGAUCUCUAGCUGUUCUGAGAGGAAGAUCAGCCACACUGGAACUGAGACACGGUCCAGACUCCUACGGGAGGCAGCAGUGGGGAAUAUUGCACAAUGGGGGCAACCCUGAUGCAGCCAUGCCGCGUGUGUGAAGAAGGCCUUCGGGUUGUAAAGCACUUUCAGUUGUGAGGAAAGGUUAGUAGUUAAUACCUGCUAGCUGUGACGUUAACAACAGAAGAAGCACCGGCUAACUCCGUGCCAGCAGCCGCGGUAAUACGGAGGGUGCGAGCGUUAAUCGGAAUUACUGGGCGUAAAGCGCACGCAGGCGGUCUGUUAAGCUAGAUGUGAAAGCCCCGCGCUCAACGUGGG